CAUCGGACUAGACCGGGCCGCUAGCGGUGGCUUGUAACCAAAAAUCCGCUUUAUGUUGGGGUCAAAAAGGAGAAAGAGGCUUUGAUGCAAUUAUUUAUGCCAAUAAUUUAACGACGAAACUCUGUCCUCACAGGCUUUUUUGUAAAAUGAACCCCGCCAGGACCGGAAGGUAGCAACGGUAAUCUUGCUAAAAGGCGCUGGAGGGAAGCGGAGUGGAGUUAAGUUAUUGAAACAAAAAUAAAGGCUAAAAGUCCAUUUCUCCCCCGUCCAAAA
rnacentral:SRP_RNA from 1 species